rnacentral:rRNA from 1 species
AUUGAACGCUGGCGGCAGGCCUAACACAUGCAAGUCGAACGAGUGGCGGACGGGUGAGUAAUGUCUGGGAAACUGCCUGAUGGAGGGGGAUAACUACUGGAAACGGUAGCUAAUACCGCAUACCAUCAGAUGUGCCCAGAUGGGAUUAGCUAGUUGGUGGGGUAACGGCUCACCAAGGCGACGAUCCCUAGCUGGUCUGAGAGGAUGCCCAGCCAAAUGGGAACUGAGUAACGGCACAGACUCCUCGGGGAGACAGAAGUGGGGAAGAUUGCACAAUGGGCGCAAGCCUGAUGCAGCCAUGCCGCGUGUAUGAAUAAGGCCUUCGGGUUGGAAAGUACUUUCAGCGGGGAGGCGUUACCCGCAGAAGAAGCACCGGCUAACUCCGUGCCAGCAGCCGCGGUAAUAC